CUGGGUCUUCCUGCAGGCUGUGUAAGCUCAUUUUGUCUUAAGAAGAUGUUUCGAGGACAAGGACAUUUUUAAACACUUCUGCUUUUAUGUUUAAACGGAUCAUACUGUACUGAGAUCUCAUGCAUAUGAAGUGAUGUCUGGACUGCAGAUCAUCUCAUUCAUUAUCAUCAUCAGCUCUGUGUUACUACAAACUCACUCAGCUGAUGAUGAUGUUUACUCAGCUGUACUUCCACACACAGUAACAGCUCUGACAGACUCUUGUGUGCUGAUACCCUGCACAUUCAAUAUCAGUACAUUUGAGAAAAAACUGCAGAAAACAACACAGAUUUAUGGGAUUUGGCUGAAAAAGAGACACAACGACUUUAGUAAUGACAAGAGUUCAGUAGUGUUUAACAGCAGUCAAAACAUCAUUCAAGGAUUCAGACACAUAGAGAUGAUUGGAGACCUCACUGAGAGAAACUGCAGCACUGUCUUCUAUAACAUCAUGAUGAAUCAUUCAGACCCGUAUUACUUCAGAAUAGAAAUGGUGCCAGAUGUGUUCAAAGCAACAUUUAACACCAAUCAAACUGAUGCAAGUGAUUC